AUUGAACGCUGGCGGCAGGCCUAACACAUGCAAGUCGAGCGGAUGAAGGGAGCUUGCUCCUGGAUUCAGCGGCGGACGGGUGAGUAAUGCCUAUGAAUCUGCCUGGUAGUGGGGGAUAACGUCCGGAAACGGGCGCUAAUACCGCAUACGUCCUGAGGGAGAAAGUGGGGGAUCUUCGGACCUCACGCUAUCAGAUGAGCCUAGUUCGGAUUAGCUAGUUGGUGGGGUAAAGGCCUACCAAGGCGACGAUCCGUAACUGGUCUGAGAGGAUGAUCAGUCAAACUGGAACUGAGACACGGUCCAGACUCCUACGGGAGGCAGCAGUGGGGAAUAUUGGACAAUGGGCGAAAGCAUGAUCCAGCCAUGCCGCGUGUGUGAAGAAGGUCUUCGGAUUGUAAAGCACUUUAAGUUGGGAGGAAGGGCAGUAAGUUAAUACCUUGCUGUUUUGACGUUACCAACAGAAUAAGCACCGGCUAACUUCGUG
rnacentral:rRNA from 1 species